UACUUUGGGUUGAUUUUCAGUGAUUUUAUGUUUAGUUUCGAUAUGCUGGAACUUUUAAACUUAAGUAGAUAUUUGAUUGUGUAUUUAAGGUGUAUAUUCUCUUAUACAAGCUAAGAGGAACUGUUUGACGAAGUGGAUUUUGGUUGAUCUAUGACAUAGAGAAAUUGAACUCCUCGAGUGGUGGUAGAACUUGUUGUGUGCUAAAACGCCAAGGUGAUGUGCGAGACGGGAUAUGAAGAUGGUCAUGUGGAGUAGACUUUUUGGAAGCUAUUUUGAAGAUCACAUAUGCAUAUACAUCUAGUUUUUGUAUAUUAUUUUGGGGACUUGUACAUGAUACAUGUGUGGCACUUAUGUACGAAAUUUUGAAGGCUUGUAACUUGAACCAAGUGACUAAUUUUGUUAUUUUAGAGUGUGCUUUUAACUCAAGUUAUGCAAUGUACUAGGUUAUAUUUUGACUUGUCA